AUGGUGGGUAAGCAGUACGGCUGCCUGCAAGAACUUGUGUUGUGGGAUUGGGGACAACUGGGGCCUGCUCCUCAGCUUGUUGAGUCUUUCCCACAUCUUCAUGUGCUAAAGCUUUGGAACUGCAGCUGGGACGCCUUACCAGGAAACAUGGAGCACCUCACAUCACUCAGGGAACUGGUGGUUAGUUCAUGCCCGAAUGUCCGGUCGCUUCCAACACUGCCCCAGUCUCUCGAGGGGCUUCGUCUAGCAUACUUGGAUGAUGAGUUCAUGGAGUCCUGCCAAACAGUCGGACAUCCAAACUGGCAAAAGAUUGAGCACGUUUGUAAAAAAAUAUUUACCUGA
rnacentral:rRNA from 1 species